rnacentral:rRNA from 1 species
GACGAACGCUGGCGGCGUGCCUAACACAUGCAAGUCGAGCGGAGAAACAAAAGAGCAGCUUGCUGCGAUUUGUUUCUUAGCGGCGGACGGGUGAGUAACGCGUGGGUAAUCUGCCUCAAACAGGGGGAUAACACAGGGAAACUUGUGCUAAUACCGCAUAAGACCCCACCACGGCAUCAUGGAGAGGUCAAAGGAAGAAAUUCCGGUUUGAGAUGAGCCCGCGUCUGAUUAGCUAGUUGGUGAGGUAACGGCUCACCAAGGCGACGAUCAGUAGCCGAACUGAGAGGUUGAUCGGCCACAUUGGGACUGAGACACGGCCCAGACUCCUACGGGAGGCAGCAGUGGGGAAUAUUGCACAAUGGGGGAAACCCUGAUGCAGCGACGCCGCGUGAAGGAAGAAGGCCCUCGGGUUGUAAACUUCUUUGACCAGGGACGAAGAAAGUGACGGUACCUGGAGAACAAGCCACGGCUAACUACGUGCCAGCAGCCGCGGUAAAGCUACGU